AGUGUAGGCGGCUUCGUAAGUCGGAUGUGAAAGCCCUGGGCUUAACCUGGGAAUGGCAUUCGAUACUGCGCGGCUAGAGUCUGAUAGAGGGAAGUGGAAUUCCAGGUGUAGCGGUGAAAUGCGUAGAGAUCUGGAGGAACACCAGUGGCGAAGGCGGCUUCCUGGAUCAAGACUGACGCUGAGGCUAGAAAGCGUGGGGAGCAAACAGGAUUAGAUACCCUGGUAGUC
rnacentral:rRNA from 1 species